AUGUGGGUGAUCUCGACCAUCCCUCUUUCCCAUGCAUAUGCAUCAGACUCGGAUGACGAUGGUCCCGAUGAAGAAGUUGAUGAGGAGGGGUUCACGCCGAAGGAGGCCCAAGCAUUCAAGAAGGUAUUCGGGCAGGAUCACAAGACAAUAUUGUUCAAGGAUAUUAGUCUCGCGGAUGAAGCCGUUUUGGAUGGUGGCAAAUGCAUAUCUCUUGGAGCUAGGCCAAGUUCUCACCGUGAUUUGGAAGAUGGCAAGAACGGUAUAUUUCCUGGUUGUGAGUUUAAUUCUUUCUUGGAAUUGAAGAUGUGGCUCGACAACUACUCGGUUAUGCAUUAUCGUCCACAUAGUGGCCAACUCGGACGUCAAUGUGUGUUACACGGUUAA
rnacentral:rRNA from 1 species